rnacentral:lncRNA from 1 species
UCUUCUCUCUCCCUAUUUUCUAGAUUACAACUAGAACUAACUAGAACUAGAACUAGAGGAACUAGAACUAGAACUAGAUGAACUAGAACUAGAUCUAGAUGAACUAGAGGUAGAACUAGAAGAACUAGAGGGAUCCUCUCUACUUGGAUGAAGAAUUGAAACCCUAACUUUGAUUCUGUAGAAGAGGUAUGAUCUCCAGGGGCCAGGGGGGUCUGGUUUUAUAGUCCCUUCAAGUGAAUCUGGUCCGUCGGAUCAAACCGACAUUGAUCGUGUGGUUUUCCUUGAAGUAUUAGGUCGGUGGAGUGUUGUCCCCGAAUUGGACUCUGUUUGGUCCAGGGGGGAGGGCGGGCGCCUAGUAAGGGAGGGCAGGCGCCCAGUGCCCGGCUCCGUUACGUCUCCCGUUCGUUCCCGUGGCUUCUGGAGUCUUCUAGAUAGUUGAAAAUUGUGCGGCACGUUAAUAUCUCUAUGUAAACCCGACGUGUGGGCCUUUCUUUCAUAUUUCCUGAUAACCCCCUGCAGAAAUAGACAAACACCAAAACUCGUGGAAUUCUGUUAGAUAAAUCCCUAAGUCUAGGUGUUGGUUCCAUUUAGAUCCUUUUCCAUGAUUAGUUGAUGGUUAAAUGUGAGCAUUAAGGACCGUCAAGAAGCUCCCCCAAGCUUAACCUUUGCUCGUCCCUGAGCAAAGAUGGACUCAAGAGUUUCUACAGUGGUUUCAUAACUUAAAGAUACACAUGCGUUUAAACAAGAUCUCAUCUCUGGUUAGAGUAAACUGUUAAGACUUAAAACUUACUCAUUUACCUUUCACCAUGGGACUUGUAACCGUCACUUCUGUCUUGAGUAGUUAAAAGAUAGAACAGUUUAGUCAAGCACCAUGUCUCUUGUUCUUCGAUUAACUAUAGCUCUGGAGUUUUUGCAGAUUUUCAAAUAAAACUCAGAGAUUCCUUGUAUGACUCUCUCUAGUCUCUCUUUUGUGGUAUUUCUGGAUCCUUACCAAGGCAGUAUUGGUAUAUGCCUUCUCUCAAAGUAUGUGGUAUUUGUGGUAUAAGGCAUAGUGGCAUUGCCUUCUCUCUCACCCUACUCUAAUAAGGUUUUGAUAUCUGGAGCUCAUAGGUGGGAGACAGCUAAUACAUACUUACAAGACAUUUAUUGCAUAGUCAAACCAUGGAUCCAGAAGAACAAGUCAAUAAGUCAAAUCAAGAUGUGCAUGUGUGGCGAAUGAAUGGUGCAUGGUAAUGAUGGUGAUAACAAUGGUGAAAGUCUAAUUCUACUUAUGCUCUUUUGAGGGGAUACAUAACUUUCUUGCUCUUUUGAAACUUUUUGAGGAGAAUGAGAUGCUCUAUAUAUUUUUUUUCUUUUUCUUCUCUCAGGUGGGUAUCUUGUACCCCUAAUUCUACUGUCGGACACUUGUCCAUUUUUACCUCUCGUCUCACUUUUUUUUCUUUCGAGGUUCCGGGCACUUGCCCCUUUUUAUUUCCUCGUAUUUUUUUUCUCUUUUUUUUCUUCUUCUUUUUUCUUUUUUUAGAGCACUCAUCUCCUGAAAUAAUAUAGCAAGUGGUAGUAACCAAGAUAACUUGAGCAUUUAUUUCACAGGGGAAAACAGAAAUGUUUUUGGCUAUUCUCUCCUGGAUUAGGAGUAGAAUAUUUUUGGGUGGUUCUGGGGAUGGAAAUGGGUGGAUAUAUGUGGAUGGUACUUUCGGAGUAGAAGUAGCAUGUGUGAGUGAACGUGCAAGUGAAUCUUGAUUUAACCACAUGACAAGCUCCUAAGGGUCUACACAGCUUGACCACACUCAAUGCUCAUAAGGAGUAAAAAGUAAAUGUGUGGCUCAAAGUCUAGCAAGCAUGUAUAUAUGACUGUGGUAGGAAUUUAAACUCUCAUCAUACAGGAACUCAUCAUGCAACAUUUUAAAGAUUUUGUGCUUAUAUAUAUCUUUGCUUAGUUUGAUGUAGCUAACAGCUGGCGGAGGUGUAUUUGAAUGUCGGCAGCACUCUGUCAGCGAUUAGGAUGUUCUCCGUCUGCUAGUCUUCUUUGAUCCUUGAAUUCUGUGGAGUUCAAAUAGACAACAAAGCUUUGUGGAACUGGUUAAGGGUUAGCGUAAAUACCUAGCCUUUAUCAUGUUGAGCCUCCUCAAUAAAUGUUACUCUCUUUAGCAGGAUCAUAAAUUUAUUUUUAUAUUUUCAUUUUUAUAGGACAGGAAUAUAUUUAUUUUAUUUUUAUGCCACCACAGUGAAUGUACUUAUGGGUUUUAUACCAUGAGCAUACUCACAUAGGGCUUACUAUUUUUAACAUUUUUAUUUUAUUUUAAGAUGAUAUGAACCUGAUUAACUAAGCAAACUGUUGUAAAUAAUUGAAAUGAAAAAGAUAACUACCAAGUUUACCUCUUGGCAAAGCGUUCAGUGUUUUUAAGUCCUCCGAACGGGACUCUCCGUUUCCUCAGUCGUCCUAGGAUUUGCUGGAUGGCGUAGUCGGUGCUUCCGGCAGCGCCUGGUCUUCAUGUAUAACUAUCUUCUCUCUCCACACCUGACUCGGUGCUACGGUCUCCUCAGGACAGUUCUGUUCAAGCUAUAUGUCUUCAGACCUUACGACUUCUCCUUCAUAGUCUGCCCAUCCGUCCUUGAUGAUUUGCCUCCUCUAGUUGCGGUUGCGUCGUCUUCUUCUUGUCAUGACCUGCUUAGAGUCUUCAACUAUAUGGUUAGGGUCAGUAAAAUGGUAGUGUACCUUCUCAGAGGGGAAAUGCAUGUGGACUCCUCCGGUUUCAAUGUAGAUGAUUGCUUUAACGGUGCUGAGAAACGGUCUUCCAAGGAUGAUGGGUGGAUCGUACUUGUCUUCUCCCAUGUCAAUAACCAUAAAAUCAUCUGGAGCUGAAUGUAUGUUGGUUGUAGGGACAUGGUUCCAUGCAGGAGCUGAUAAGUGACUGCGGCCAUUAUGUUGACGUUAGAUCUGGUGUCGUAGAGUGUCUUCUAAAAAGAAUAUCCAUUGAUUGUGCACUCGAUGCUUGGAACACCAGGGUCGUCCUUCUUGAUCAAGAAAGGUGACUUGAGUUGACGAUCUUGACCUCCUUGAGCUGCAGUGACCAUCUUAGCUGACUUGGUACACAUUUGCUUGUUCCUGUUCCUCCUGUUGGUCCUCUUCCUUGGUUCAUGUCGGGAUUGCUCUGGGAUUUGUGUAGUCUUGUUCUUGAAGGAAAACGUCUCCUUCUUCCCCUUGAUGUAGAAACUGAUCUUGGCAGCAGUAGCGUAGAUGACAGCUCCCGAGGUGUUCAUGAAUGGCCUCCCUAGGGUGAUCGGUGCCCUCUGAUCCGUAUCAGUCUCUAUCACCACGAAGUCUGCUGGAGCGUAUAAGGUACCAACUCGGACGUAGAGGUUCUUCAAUAUUCCCUUUGGGAAACUUAGCAUAUGAUCUGCAAGCUGCAAACACAUGGCUGUCUCUAAUAAAGGAUGUGUAAAGUUUUUUUUAUAGUGUACCCUGAGCAUAAUGUCGACGCUGGAGCCAAAGUCGUAGAGUGCUUCUGGGAAGUCCACCAUGCUGAUAGAGAUCAGGAUGACAGGGCAUCCUGGAUCGCCUCUCUCGACCGGUAGAAGGUCAGUAAUUACUUCCACAAUGGGGUUACUCCAGUAGUUACGUCCUCAAGCAUCUCAGGGCAGUGAUUGCCUGAGUGUCCAGUAUCUCCAGUGUGUUUGUGCUCCUAGAUCUAGGUUCUUCACUUGAUGGAGUCUGGGAGUUGUAAAAGUCCCUCAUAUCUUGCUCGAAGUGUACUUGCUCAUAGAGACAAGGCAGAGAUCAAGUGCAUGGGCCCUGUUGGUGGAAAACACCAACAGAACCAAAAGUGUAUUUUCUCUUCUCUAUCCUUAAGCAUAGUGAGCAAGACAAAGUUGAUGGAUAAUAAGAUCAUGAGUGUAGCAUUUAAAACAUUCGUCAGAUUAGAUGACUCAACCUAAUGGAAAGAUAAUCUAUCUAUACUUAUGUUUUAUAUAUAUAUAUAUAUAUAUAUAUCUUCCAAAGAUUGAGAAUGCAACAUUUUAGCUCAUAUGAUUAGGAGUGUGGGAUCACUAAAGUGGAAGGACUAAACAUAUUGAAUCGAUUGGGUUGGUUAAUCUAGAGUUGUAAAUCAUACAUGUUUGUCUCUUUUACUCAUGUGAACGCCAGAACCAAGGAGAAGCUUAUAAAAGUGAUAGUCAAGUACUUUAAGAUGUUACCUUACUUGAAGAGUGAUGGUACAGUAUCACCUUGUGGAAGCUUUCCUCUCUUAGCGGUUGUGCAUCGUGUUUUUGGCACCCUCCAUGGAUCAUCUCUUGUGAGCUAUGCCUUCCUUGUGUAAAUUGUUAAACUACAUGUGUGUCUCUCUUUGUCUCCAAUGUGAGUUUAUCUCAGGACUUCCCAGGUUGAUGUUGAAAGUUUUUUUUUUCUGUAGGGGUUAGUCUGACAAAAUAUACCAAUGUCUACACAAGCAGUUUUUAGUUCAAUAACCAAACUAGACUCCAUGUCUAAUUAGAUUAAGGAAGGUUGUUUAACCUAAGCACCAUGCUUAAUUUAAAAACCAAUAGAAGUAUGUACAGUACUUCCAAACUAACACUUACUAGGAUAAACAAAGGUAGCGUGAUGGCUUUUAUAGAGAUCUACUCAAGUGGACAUGAAGUAGUGUGAUUACUAUUUAACAAAUUGAGCAUGUCUCAAAGGUAGGGACAACCAACAUAGCAACAUGGCAAAGGAUGUUUUUAUGUAAAGUACUCCCCCAAGCUUGAAUUUCGCAAAAUUCAAGUUUGGAUGAAUUUAAUUCAAUGUUGUAUGAUGAUUGGUUGGACAUACCUUGUGCUUGUCAUUCAUCCGAUCUUCUUGCUCCAAUCCUAGAAAGGUUAGUGACAAGAAUACCCGAAGGAAUAUUUUUACAAUUAUCCUUAUAUGCUCAAUACACAAGGCAAUGCUGCAAAUAAUUAAAAGCUCAUGUUACGAUCUGAUCAGUGCUUGUUUUAGGACACAAAGCUUGUCCUUGGGAAACCAUCAAUUUAUGUCGGCGAAGUGGUUCCCCCUCCAACGCUGACCUAUAUCAAGAUCAACUCAACGAGAUCUGCAAUAUUUAAUAUAGACAUAUGCAUCGACAACCGCCCUUUUAAAGUUUUUAUAAAUAGAAAGGAUGAGGGGGUUGGAGAUCUCGAAUGUGGUGAUGUUGGAAAAACCAAUGGAUUGUGAAGAUGUUGCAUAUGAGCAUGGAGUAAAUGAAGUGGCUAUGAAAUAAAUUCCAUGCUCAUUAAUGCUUAGAGUGAAAUCCAUGUGGUAUGGUGAAAAUGAUAAGGUGAGUGUGUUAAAAAAAGGAAAAGAAAAAGGAUACACGGACGACUUGGUUCGAAACUAGCACAGCUACCGUUCCCCGGCAACGGCGCCAGAAAGCUUGUUGGGUAUUUUAAACGCAAACAGAAAAAUCCGCAAGCGCACGGAUACCGAUGUAGCUUUCACCCGGGAGUAUUCCAGAGUAUCGAUUUUCCACAGAAAACUUGAGUGUACUAAUUAAGAUCCAAGAUCGCCCAAGGAUAACUAUAUAAUUAUUUUUGUGGGAAGAGAGGAAGUUUCUUGAGAGUUCUCUAGUUGAUCUAAGAAUCAAGAAUUACUUCAAGAUUAUCUAUAUCGGGACAUCAGAGCACUAACCACAGAAAGAGAUGAGAAGGGGGCUAGGAAGUUCUGACUACGGUCCUAUAAACACCGAUCCGAACGAGGUGGAAUACGUCGACCGUUAGGGCUGUCACUACCCUAGGGCUACCACAACAAUCCGUAGGAUUGGGUGCAAUACCAGGUAAUCGCAAGACUAAACACCACGUCUAAUCUAUUAAUUACUACUCUAGCGUUAUAAAGACUAGAGCACUUGAUGCAAGCGGGAAUCCAAUAAAUAACUUGAAUGUAAAUAAAAGUAAUUAAAGAACUCAGGAAUUAUGAAUUGAAGAACCUGGAGAACGAUGAAGAACGAACCAGUUGCUACAAAAGUAUAAUGUUGAGGAAGAUCCGACAGAUCCGGCUCCUCCUCCGCUCUCCUCUUCUCUCUCCCUAUUUUCUAGAUUACAACUAGAACUAACUAGAACUAGAACUAGAGGAACUAGAACUAGAACUAGAUGAACUAGAACUAGAUCUAGAUGAACUAGAGGUAGAACUAGAAGAACUAGAGGGAUCCUCUCUACUUGGAUGAAGAAUUGAAACCCUAACUUUGAUUCUGUAGAAGAGGUAUGAUCUCCGGGGGCCAAGGGGGUCUGGUUUUAUAGUCCCUUCAAGUGAAUCUGGGCCGUCGGAGCAAACCAACAUUGAUCGUGUGGUUUUCCUUGAAGUAUUAGGUCGGUGGAGUGUUGUCCUCGAAUUGGACUCUGUUUGGUCCAGGGGGGAGGGCGGGCGCCCAGUAAGGGAGGGCGGGCGCCCAGUGCCCGGCUCUGUUACGUCUCCCGUUCGUUCCCGUGGCUUCUGGAGUCUUCUAGAUGGUUGAAAAUUGUGCGGCACGUUAAUAUCUCUAUGUAAACCCGAUGUGUGGGCCUUUCUUUCAUAUUUCCUGAUAACCCCCUGCAGAAAUAGACAAACACCAAAACUCGUGGAAUUAUGUCAGAUAAAUCCCUAAGUCUAGGUGUUGGUUCCAUUUAGAUCCUUUUCCAUGAUUAGUUGAUGGUUAAAUGUGAGCAUU